UCAUCGCGGGCGCGACGCCCCGAGGGACAGUCUGAGGUCCGGCUCGGCGGGGAGGUUCGGUGGCGGGACCGGCCGGGAAAAUGCCAGUGGCGGUGAUGGCGGAAAGUUCCUUUAGUUUCAGAAAGUUGCUGGAUCAGUGCGAGAACCAGGAGCUCGAGGCUCCAGGAGGAAUUGCUACACCCCCAGUGUAUGGUCAGCUUCUAGCUUUAUAUCUGCUUUAUAAUGACAUGAAUAAUGCAAGAUAUCUUUGGAAAAGAAUACCACCUGCUAUAAAAUCUGCAAAUUCUGAACUUGGGGGAAUUUGGUCGGUAGGACAAAGAAUCUGGCAGAGAGAUUUCCCCGGGAUCUAUACCACCAUCAGCGCUCACCCGUGGUCUGAGACGGUCCAGCCAAUCAUGGAGGCACUUAGAGAUGCCACCCGGAGGCGAGCCUUCGCCCUGGUCUCUCAGGCAUAUACCUCCAUCAUCGCCGACGAUUUCGCAGCCUUUGUUGGACUUCCCGUGGAAGAGGCUGUGAAAGGUAUCCUAGAACAAGGAUGGCAGGCCGACUCCGCCACGAGGAUGGUCAUGCCCAGAAAGCCAGUGGCGUGGCGCUGUCGGUUCUGCCCGGUCCAUAAGGAGAAGCAAGACUUAAUGCAGCAGCUGGGCAGGCUCGCCGCUCCUCACGACGUUUCUCACCCACUGUGAUAACCAGGGGGAGAAACAGCACAUGAAAAGGAGAAGAGGGGAAACUAGAAACCCAACCUCAACCAGGAAAGAAGCGUCAGGAAGAACCAUCUUUGGAGCUGGGGAGGGCCUGAGGUUGUCUGAGAAGGUAGCCUUGGACGGUGAAAGCCCUUAGGAGACCUUUGACCCAGACCUUUGACCUAACCUCGCCUGCAUCAGAUGCUCGGCAGGGGAGCAGAUCAUAAAGCAAAUCCAAAGAAACUGUGUGACUGUCAGAACUAAAAUGUAUUUGUGCAGAUCCUGGGAUGUCCCCGUGGCUGAAGAUGAUAACCUCAAUCAGUGGUUCUCAACCAGGAGCAGUUUUGGCCCCCAAGGUUCAUUUGGCAAUGUCUGGAGGUAUUUUGGUUGUCACAAUUGGUGGUGGAGGUCACAGGGUCCAGGGAGGCUGCUAUGCCCCCCACAGGGCCCAGAACAGCCCCACCGCAAAGAAUGAUGUGGCUCAAAAUAUCACUAGAGCAAUUCCUUUCUUUACCUACUGGCCACUGGCAUGAGGACACAAGUGAUGGUAGCCUCAACCCCAGUGGACCCAUGACAGCGCCUCCUAGCAAACUCAGGACCAUACUGCAGUGAAGCCUAAAGCUGGGACUUCAGUGGGUAGCGCAAAUUCCCUGAGGGUGACGAGACAUGCUGCUGAGGACAGGGCACCGGGUUCCCGCUAAAGGCUUAGCCCAUGUGCGGCAGCCUGUGAGCCAGGCCCUGCCUUGUUCACUGUUCCUUUAUUAAACCCUCUCACGCUCCCCAGCUUGAGUGUGCCGUCUGUUUCUCGCUGGCAACCUGACUGUCACUACACCAAUCUCCUUGCAGAGUAGUUCCCGAUGCACACUCCUGGUAAACAGCAGGAAGAGCCCAGAUCUGGAAUUCUGCAUUCCUGAUCCAAGGGUUUCUGUUUAACUUAGGGAGUUUUCCGAAGUGGUUAUACCAGUUUACAUUCCCAUGAGCAGUGUAUGAAAGUUACAGUUGUUUUACAUCCUGAUCAACAGUAUUGUGUGGUUUUCAAAACUUUAUUAUUUGAGUCCUUCUGAUGGGUGCAUAAGGAAACUUCGCAGUGGUUUUAAUUUGCGCCACUCUAAGGACCAAUGAAGUUGAGCAUUUUUUCCUAUGUUUGUUGGUCAUUGGAUAUCAUUUUUUGCCAAGUCUUUUGACCAUUUUACUGUUGGAUUGGUUUUCUUAUUUUACUCCUGACUUUAGGAGCUCUGCAUAUGUUCCGAAGAUGAGCCUUUUGUUAGAUAUGUAUAAUGCACAUGUAUCUUCCUCCACUCUAUGGGCUGCCUUUUCACCCUCCAUAUGUCAUUUGUCUUGACGUUAGUACCUGGAGUAUCUUUUCAUUGCACUUGUUUAUGCCCACUGAUUCUUGAAUUGUUUCUUUUUCCUUGGAUUCCUCUUUGAUUUUGCUGAAUUUUAUUCCAAAGCACAUUUUGGGACAGAUAGAAGAUAAUAUUCUGAUUUCUUGAAUGUUAACAGGUCUUUAUUUUGCCCUUAUUCUUUAUUGGUAGUUUAGCUGGGUAUAUAAUACUUGGAGAAUGCUCUUUUUCUACAACUGCACCAGUGAAACGGUUAUGAAGAAAAAAAUACUUCCUGACGUCUCAUUUACAAUAUAUAUUUCAAAUUUCUUAACCUUGGUUUCUUUUUGUUAAGUUUUCUUGUUUCUUAAAAUACCUGUUUCAUAGAGAUUCAAUUUCCCUGAAUGGGCCAACUGGUCUUCAGUUUUUCAUCUGCAGAAACUAGUGAGUUUUAGAUGCUUUUUUUUUUUUCUUUUAAACCCUUACAGAGGGAAAUCUAUUCCAGGUAAAAGAAUGGAAAAUUUUAGAAUUCUUAGCAUCUCUUUUUGGUAGAUUUAAUGUAAUUUGAUGUGCAAGUCAGGUAAUGGAAGGUGGCACACACCUGGGACGUCUUCUGGGGGGAACAGUUUCCCCUUCCAGUGGGCCAUCUGCUGUGGCAGUCUUCAGCUGGCUGGGAGUACUUAGCCUUUAACUCCCAUUGCCAGCUGACAGAGGUCAGCAGGAGCUGAUGCAACAGAAUUUUCUGCUCCAUGCAGAGAGCUGCCCUCCCCACCUCUCUCUCUAAGCAGGUAUUAUAGGCUGAGGUUGCCCCAGACUGGCUGCAGCAGGACUGAAAUUCAACCCCUAUGCACUCAACCACCAUAAUCUGUAGCCCCCUCUGGAAGAUGUAAAUGGUGGGAUGGUCCACAUUUUCCUUUAAUCUCUUUUUUUUUCUGGUACCAUUUCUUAUUUCAGAGCAUCAGGAAUUCAGGAAUUUAGAUGGUGCCUUUUCCAAUUCCCAGUGAUUAUGGAGAAUUUUCCUUAUUAUUCUGUUAGGUCAUCUCAGUGGGGAUUUGGUAGAGUAAAGGAUAUAAAAACUACUAAAGGUUAGAAUAUCACCCUGAAUGAGAAGAUCUAGUAGAAGCUUUGUGAUGGAAAUCAUCUGUAGAUUUAAAUGCAUGCCAAAGAGCAAAUUCAGAGAUUUAAGGAUUAAAUGUGAUUAAAACACAGACUUUUGACUAUUGCUUCAGUUUCUAGUAAAACCCAUAGCCAAUUGGACGGUCUCCCUUAUUAGCUCAUUCUGAAAUCAUCAGCAGUUUACAUUUUACUCGAGUGAUCCAACAGCUCUGGCUUAAUUAUCCAUGAAACUGAAGGUAGCCUUCAGCUAGAAGAGCUAACUGACCUGCUUCUUAAUUCAAGCUGCAGGAAAUCCAAGGUAUGUCUCUGAAAAUGCCUUGAUUACAUACAUACUUUGGAGAGAUUCACAAUUAAUCUUUACCAAGUGUUCCCAUAAAUGCUAGUUUGAAUUCUUUUUAAAUCGAGAUAGCAUGUCAAGGAUUUCUAUAAUUAGUUCAACUCGACCUCUUGAUAGUCAACAUGUUUAUUUUUGGAUGACUAUUUGCUAUUAGCUCUACUGCUCAACACUAAAAUACAGUCCCUUAAUCCGAAAAAGAAUAUAUCUAUAAAUGAAUCAAUUUGCUGUACACCUGAAACUAACACAACAUUGUAAAUCAACUAUAUUUCAAUUAAAAAAUAAAAUAAAAUACAGGCCCUUUCCUAA